GGAAACGUACCCAAGUUUGGUUGAAGGGGACUGGUUGCUACCAGAUAGGCUGUAAAAAGUGUUGGAGUUCGAAUCUCCACGUUUCCG
rnacentral:tRNA from 1 species